GUUCAAGGUUACAGCCCCGAGCACUGCGGCAGGAUCCCCGAGUGGCGAUCGCAGGCGAAACUUUGCCGCGAGCCGACCAUGUUGCAUCCAAAAGUUUUCUCACAAGCUUAAACAAGAAAAACGAAAAAUGGACAACUGGGACACAGAAGAGCCCACAAAAGCUGCAGCAGCACCAGGGGUUAGAAGCAGCGACAGACCCAGCAUGUCUGUGCCAUGGUAUUAAGAGUGGUUUUAAAGUAUCUCUGAAAAGCUUCUGAUACUAUCAAAAUGGGCCAAACACUUGUUAAACUUUGUUACUUACCUCUCCUAAACUCAUUUAUUCUCUCUCUCACACACUGGUAUGACAGGCCAAUUUCAUUCACCCCAAAAUCUGGUUUGAGGAGCUAGAAAGAAGUGAAAAGCUCCCUCAGCAACAGGAAAAUCUAAUAUUUCAGAAUUCCUAAACAGCUCCUCCCUAGAGGGGAGUUAUUCCCUGCCAUCUUAUAGGGAAAAAAG